rnacentral:rRNA from 1 species
UACGUAGGGUGCAAGCGUUAAUCGGAAUUACUGGGCGUAAAGCGUGCGCAGGCGGUUGUGUAAGUCAGAUGUGAAAUCCCCGGGCUCAACCUGGGAAUGGCAUUUGAGACUGCACAGCUAGAGUGUGUCAGAGGGGGGGUAGAAUUCCACGUGUAGCAGUGAAAUGCGUAGAGAUGUGGAGGAAUACCGAUGGCGAAGGCAGCCCCCCUGGGAUAACACUGACGCUCAUGCACGAAAGCGUGGGGAGCAAACAGG